rnacentral:rRNA from 1 species
UACGUAGGGUGCAAGCGUUGUCCGGAAUUAUUGGGCGUAAAGAGCUCGUAGGCGGUUUGUCGCGUCUGCUGUGAAAACUGGAGGCUCAACCUCCAGCCUGCAGUGGGUACGGGCAGACUAGAGUGCGGUAGGGGAGAUUGGAAUUCCUGGUGUAGCGGUGGAAUGCGCAGAUAUCGGAAGGAACACCGAUGGCGAAAGCAGCGUGCUGGACCUUUUCUGACGCUGAGGCGCGAAAGCCAGGGGAGCAAACGGG